CUUAAAGGAGUUACUUUAAUGGGCUCUGAGUUUGAUCUAAUCAAAUCCGAUUCUGUAGGUUUACUAGAUUAUGUCGGUUCAUUUUCUACCAUCAAACUUUCAAGUUCAACUUGAUAGGCAUCAGUUCCUUCUCUAAGAAACUCCUUUCAAAAAGGAAUGCCCUACUGCUGAUGAGCAUCUUAUGUUCUUUAGCAUGAUAGAAUUAGUAACCCUUAAACACCUAUUGGACCAAGAACCAAGUUUAUCUGUAUGCAAACCUUUGAUAUAGGCCGAUCAACUCCAAACCCAAAGGUGAGAGAGUCUAGAUCUAUGCCCGUUCCAUAUCUCAUAUGAAAUCUGCACAACAGACUUACUCAGUAUAUUUUCAGAGUAAAAUAGGUAAUCACACA
rnacentral:lncRNA from 1 species